CACAUCACACACAGUACCAUGUGUCUCAAACUCAUCACGAAUACGUUCAAUUGUUAGGUGUGUUGGAGGUUCUGUUGCAUACUUACGUCUCCAUUGUUGUACUUCCACAACGUUCUCAAAUUUCAAAUACCACUUCAAAAUGGCCUUGCAUUCCUCAAAUGACAACUGUGCUGCUGUCAUUUUAUUUGUCCUGCCUACUGCAGGGAGACACUAGCAUCAUUUGAUUAACGCCAUCUUUUGAGCAAAUGUAAUUCAACUUCGAAGAGUAAUACAUGGAUAAUAUCGCUUAAAAUGUGUAUGCAUUUUUUUGGCACACCUGUUUAGGCUAUAAAAACACUUAUCUGAUAAGACCAUCCAUCUGCUUUUGUUUCUAUCAUUCAUAAACCAGAAACAGAAUUUUCAACACAGACUGCAGAUCCAGGUCUUCUAAAACUGGAAUACCUUGCUUCAUGUUACCUCAAGAAACACAGACUCCUUAAGCAUGACUGGUAGCAUAUUGUAAUUUGUCUUUUUUGGAAACCCAGACUUCUCAAGCAUGACUAGUAUCGACCCAUUGUGUAUUCCGUGCCUGGUGACCAGGACCCCCCUCAGGGUCUCCAAGACAUCCACAGGUGGUCAACAAGGAAGUCACAGCAGUCACGUCUACCUGAUUGCAACAUCUCCAGGGAAAAGGAUUUAAGCCAGGACUCUAGGGGGCUACGGGGCCACCCUCAUCUAGAGUGUAGGCCCGCUUACUGUCUGUGGGAAGUGAACCUUUCGGAAAUAAAUCUUUUCUUCUUUUA